GCAGACACAUUCCAGCCAAUCAGCAGCAGACCCUCCCUCCCAGGCCCUCCCACCUCCUGGACAGCAUCCAUUGUGAAGCUGCAUUCUUAGUGAGCUGUCCAGGAGGUGGGAGGGUCUGGGAGGGAGGGUCUGCUGCUGAUUGGCUGGAAUGUGUCUG